GACGAACGCUGGCGGCGUGGAUUAGGCAUGCAAGUCGAACGGUAUCAUCCUUUCGGGGGUGAGAGAGUGGCGAACUGGUGAGUAACACGUAGGUUAUCUACCCUCAAGACGGGGACAACCCAGGGAAACUUGGGCUAAUACCGGAUGUGAGCAACUUUUAGUUGUUUGAAAGGUGGCGCAAGCUGUCGCUUGGGGAUGAGCCUGCGUCCUAUUAGUUAGUUGGUGAGGUAACGGCUCACCUAGGCAAUGAUAGGUAGGCGGCCUUAACGGGUGGUCGCCCACACUGGGAUUGAGAUACGGCCCAGACUCCUACGGGAGGCAGCAGUCGAGAAUAGUCUACAAUGGUCGGAAGACUGAUAGUGCGACGCCGCGUGAACGAUGAAUCCCUUCGGGGUGUAAAGUUCUUUUAUAUGUGAGCAGUGCUUCUUAUAUUAACAGUAUGGGGAGAGAGAUAUUAGCAUAUGAAUAAGCAACGGCUAACUCCGUGCCAGCAGCCGCGGUAAACUCG
rnacentral:rRNA from 1 species